AUGAACGCUGGCGGCGUGCCUAAUACCUGCAAGUCGAGCGAACAGACGAGGAGCUUGCUCCUCUGACGUUAGCGGCGGACGGGUGAGUAACACGUGGAUAACCUACCUAUAAGACUGGGAUAACUUCGGGAAACCGGAGCUAAUACCGGAUAAUAUAUUGAACCGCAUGGUUCAAUAGUGAAAGACGGUUUUGCUGUCACUUAUAGAUGGAUCCGCGCCGCAUUAGCUAGUUGGUAAGGUAACGGCUUACCAAGGCGACGAGGCGUAGCCGACCUGAGAGGGUGAUCGGCCACACUGGAACUGAGACACGGUCCAGACUCCUACGGGAGGCAGCAGUAGGGAAUCUUCCGCAAUGGGCGAAAGCCUGACGGAGCAACGCCGCGUGAGUGAUGAAGGUCUUCGGAUCGUAAAACUCUGUUAUUAGGGAAGAACAAAUGUGUAAGUAACUAUGCACGUCUUGACGGUACCUAAUCAGAAAGCCACGGCUAACUACGUG
rnacentral:rRNA from 1 species